AUUGAACGCUGGCGGCAUGCUUUACACAUGCAAGUCGAACGGCAGCGCGGGCUUCGGCCUGGCGGCGAGUGGCGAACGGGUGAGUAAUACAUCGGAACGUGCCCAGUAGUGGGGGAUAGCUCGGCGAAAGCCGGAUUAAUACCGCAUACGACCUGAGGGUGAAAGCGGGGGAUCUUCGGACCUCGCGCUAUUGGAGCGGCCGAUGGCAGAUUAGCUAGUUGGUGGGGUAAAGGCCUACCAAGGCGACGAUCUGUAGCUGGUCUGAGAGGACGACCAGCCACACUGGGACUGAGACACGGUCCAGACUCCUACGGGAGGCAGCAGUGGGGAAUUUUGGACAAUGGGCGAAAGCCUGAUCCAGCAAUGCCGCGUGCGUGAUGAAGGCCUUCGGGUUGUAAAGCACUUUUGGCGGGAACGAAAAGGACUGUGCCAAUACCACGGUUCGAUGACGGUACCCGCAGAAUAAGCACCGGCUAACUACGUG
rnacentral:rRNA from 1 species